rnacentral:rRNA from 1 species
UACGGAGGAUGCAAGCGUUAUCCGGAAUGAUUGGGCGUAAAGCGUCCGCAGGUGGCUAUGUAAGUCUGCUGUGAAAGAGUCUAGCUCAACUAGAUAAGAGCAGUGGAAACUACAAGGCUAGAGUACGUUCGGGGCAGAGGGAAUUCCUGGUGUAGCGGUGAAAUGCGUAGAGAUCAGGAAGAACACCAGCGGCGAAGGCGCUCUGCUAGGCCGUAACUGACACUGAGGGACGAAAGCUAGGGGAGCGAAUGGG